rnacentral:rRNA from 1 species
UACGGAGGAUGCAAGCGUUGUUCGGAAUCACUGGGCUUAAAGAGCAUGUAGGUGGGGUGUCAGGCGUCGGGUGAAAUCCCUGGGCUCAACCCAGGAACUGCGUCCGAUACUGGAAGGCUUGAAUCCGGGAGAGGGAUGUGGAAUUCCAGGUGUAGCGGUGAAAUGCGUAGAUAUCUGGAGGAACACCGGUGGCGAAGGCGGCCUGCUGGGCAGUAGCUGACGCUGAGGCGCGACAGCGUGGGGAGCAAACAGG